rnacentral:rRNA from 1 species
GCUACACAUGCAGUCGAGCGGAACGAGAAGUAGCUUGCUAUUUCGGCGUCGAGCGGCGGACGGGUGAGUAAUGCCUGGGAAAUUGCCUUGAUGUGGGGGAUAACCAUUGGAAACGAUGGCUAAUACCGCAUAACGCUUUUGUUUGUAAUGAACGGAAGCCAAAGAGGGGGACCUUCGGGCCUCUCGCGUCAAGAUAUGCCCAGGUGGGAUUAGCUAGUUGGUGAGGUAAUGGCUCACCAAGGCGACGAUCCCUAGCUGGUCUGAGAGGAUGAUCAGCCACACUGGAACUGAGACACGGUCCAGACUCCUACGGGAGGCAGCAGUGGGGAAUAUUGCACAAUGGGCGCAAGCCUGAUGCAGCCAUGCCGCGGGUAU